GCGGCUGGAAUCAUGAAAAGCCUCUGAGAAUCCUCCGUCAUGUCCUUCCCCUUGGGUAUACCGAAAUCAGAGUUUAAAGGGUGUACUGAAAUCAGAGUUUGGAGCUCAUACCCCAAGUUCUUCUCUGGUAAGUUGGCUGUGAUAAAGGAGGAUCUCCGUGCUCAUCUCCAUCACGUUAUCCUUGCAUAUAUCUGGAUCUUUUUGCCCUCUAUGAUUUUAUAGACUCCCUCAUUUUUCAUUGUUAACAGGUAUCUGCAGCGAUUAUCAUACAGCUUUGUGAAUCUUUCAAUGAUGUCAUGUUCUCAAAUGUCGUUAAGAUCUGAAGCUUGCAGCAUACGUCUUCUAAACCCAAAGUUGGAUCUUCUCUAGUAUCCAUGAAACCUAGCUUCACCAAGAGUCUAAAUAAUUUCUUGGAUAAACACUUGUGAUACUCAGCAUUGCUCCUGUGAGAGGUUACUUUGCUGCACCACUGUCCAAAACAAAGCUCGACAGCACCAUGGAUGAAACCCUUUGGGGGAUUAGAGGCGACUUAGUGAGCCAAAUAGGAUGUUCCAAUGCCAGAGAGACCCACAAUCAAAAUCACCCAGUGGGAACCCUCCUGUUCUAAUAAUCUUUGGACACGACGAUACUUAUCCAAUAUUGGAUACCCUUGUUUGGCAUUGCUUCUAUUGUAUAAGAGGGACAAUAUUUGCAGCAGAAUUAAUGAGUCUCCAUAUAUCUGCUAAUAUCAUCUAAUGUUAUUGUCACCAGUUCAACUCAUGCUCAAUCGAGUGGAUCAAUUCUGUCAUGAGUGAAUUGUCCGGUAUAUCCGCAGCGAUAAGUUGCUCCAUCUUCUCCUUAGCCCAG
rnacentral:lncRNA from 1 species